rnacentral:rRNA from 1 species
CAGCAGCCGCGGUAAUACGUAGGUGGCAAGCGUUGUCCGGAUUUAUUGGGCGUAAAGCGAGCGCAGGCGGUCAAUUAAGUCUGAUGUGAAAGCCCCCGGCUCAACCGGGGAGGGUCAUUGGAAACUGGUUGACUUGAGUGCAGAAGAGGAGAGUGGAAUUCCAUGUGUAGCGGUGAAAUGCGUAGAUAUAUGGAGGAACACCAGUGGCGAAGGCGACUCUCUGGUCUGUAACUGACGCUGAGGCUCGAAAGCGUGGGUAGCAAACAGGAUUAGAUACCCGGGUAGUCCCUGUCUCUUAUAC